rnacentral:rRNA from 1 species
ACUCCUACGGGAGGCAGCAGUAGGGAAUCUUCCACAAUGGGCGCAAGCCUGAUGGAGCAACACCGCGUGAGUGAAGAAGGGUUUCGGCUCGUAAAGCUCUGUUGUUAAAGAAGAACACGUAUGAGAGUAACUGUUCAUACGUUGACGGUAUUUAACCAGAAAGUCACGGCUAACUACGUGCCAGCAGCCGCGGUAAUACGUAGGUGGCAAGCGUUAUCCGGAUUUAUUGGGCGUAAAGAGAGUGCAGGCGGUUUUCUAAGUCUGAUGUGAAAGCCUUCGGCUUAACCGGAGAAGUGCAUCGGAAACUGGAUAACUUGAGUGCAGAAGAGGGUAGUGGAACUCCAUGUGUAGCGGUGGAAUGCGUAGAUAUAUGGAAGAACACCAGUGGCGAAGGCGGCUACCUGGUCCGCAACUGACGCUGAGACUCGAAAGCAUGGGUAGCGAACAGGAUUAGAUACCCCUGGUAGGAUAGCG